CCGAGUUCGUGGGCGUUCCAACCGGACCCCAAACUCCCACCCUUUGUGUACCGUACCUUGUUGCUUUGGCGGGCCUGCGCGCCCUCGAAAAGCGCGCUGCCGGCUCUGCUGGCUCGUGCCCGCCAGAGGAUCGUCAAACUCCUGUUUUUUAUCAGUGUCGUCUGAGUGUAAACCUAACAAGUUUA
rnacentral:misc_RNA from 1 species